CGCUCUGUUUUUGCUCGCCGGUCACACCUGUUCCCAUUCCGAACACAGAAGUUAAGCUUGUCAGGGCCCAAAGUAGUUACAGGAACGCCUGUUGCAAGGUUAGGUCGAUGCGAUGC
rnacentral:rRNA from 1 species